GGACUACCCGGGUUUCUAAUCCCGUUUGCUCCCCUGGCUUUCGCGCCUCAGCGUCAGAAAAGGUCCAGCACGUCGCUUUCGCCACCGGCGUUCCUUCCGAUAUCUACGCAUUUCACCGCUCCACCGGAAGUUCCACAUGCCCCUACCUUCCUCGAGGCAAUCAGUAUCAAAGGCUGUUCUCCGGUUGAGCCGGAGGAUUUCACCCCUGACUUGAUCGCCCGCCUACGCGCCCUUUAAGCCCAGUGAAUCCGAACAACGUUCGCACGGUUCGUCUUACCGCGGCUGCUGGCAC
rnacentral:rRNA from 3 species